AGUGAACGCUGGCGGUAGGCCUAACACAUGCAAGUCGAACGGCAGCACAGUAAGAGCUUGCUCUUACGGGUGGCGAGUGGCGGACGGGUGAGGAAUACAUCGGAAUCUACUUUUUCGUGGGGGAUAACGUAGGGAAACUUACGCUAAUACCGCAUACGACCUACGGGUGAAAGCAGGGGAUCUUCGGUCCUUGCGCGAUUGAAUGAGCCGAUGUCGGAUUAGCUAGUUGGCGGGGUAAAGGCCCACCAAGGCGACGAUCCGUAGCUGGUCUGAGAGGAUGAUCAGCCACACUGGAACUGAGACACGGUCCAGACUCCUACGGGAGGCAGCAGUGGGGAAUAUUGGACAAUGGGCGCAAGCCUGAUCCAGCCAUACCGCGUGGGUGAAGAAGGCCUUCGGGUUGUAAAGCCCUUUUGUUGGGAAAGAAAAGCAGCAGGUUAAUACCCCGCUGUUCUGACGGUACCCAAAGAAUAAGCACCGGCUAACUUCGUG
rnacentral:rRNA from 1 species